CAAUGGGGACGUGAGUGUCAGAACGGGACCAUGGAGCAGGGGAAGAAGGUUGCCUGGUCUGAUGAAUCUCGUUUUCUUUUAGAUCAGGUGGAUGGCUGGGUGCCUGUGGGAGAGAUGACAUCAAGAUGCACUAUGGGAAGAAGGCAGUCCGGCUGAGGAAUUGUUAUGCUUUUGGCAAUGUUAAACUGGGAAACCUUGGGUCUUUAAU